CCUACGGGCGGCAGCAGUGGGGAAUAUUGCGCAAUGGGCGAAAGCCUGACGCAGCGACGCCGCGUGAGGGAUGAAGGUCUUCGGAUCGUAAACCUCUGUCAGCAGGGAAGAACGGUCACUGUGCUAAUCAGCAGUGAAUUGACGGCACCUGCAAAGGAAGCACCGGCUAACUCCGUGCCAGCAGCCGCGGUAAUACGUAGGGUGCGAGCGUUAAUCGGAAUUACAGGGCGUAAAGCGAGCGUAGGCGGGAUGGCAAGUCAAGGGUGAAAUCCCCGCGCUCAACGUGGGAACUGCCUUUGAAACUGGCAGGCUGGAGUGUGGGAGAGGUUAGUGGAAUUCCAGGUGUAGGAGUGAAAUCCGUAGAUAUCUGGAGGAACAUCAGUGGCGAAGGCGACUAUCUGGCACAUAACUGACGCUGAGGAGCGAAAGCGUGGGUAGCAAACAGGAUUAGAUACCCGGGUAGUC
rnacentral:rRNA from 1 species